rnacentral:rRNA from 1 species
GACGAACGCUGGCGGCGUGCUUAAUACAUGCAAGUCGAGCGAGGCCCAUCCAGUGGCAACACUGGGGAAGGCCGAGCGGCGAACGGGUGAGUAACACGUGAGCAACCUGCCCCGAAGUCUGGAAUAACAUCGGGAAACCGGUGCUAAUACCGGAUUGCCCCACCUGACCGCAUGAUCGGGUGAGGAAAGAUUUAUCGCUUCGGGAGGGGCUCGCGGCCUAUCAGCUAGUUGGCGGGGUAACGGCCCACCAAGGCGUCGACGGGUAGCUGGUCUGAGAGGACGACCAGCCACACUGGGACUGAGACACGGCCCAGACUCCUACGGGAGGCAGCAGUAGGGAAUCUUGCGCAAUGGGCGAAAGCCUGACGCAGCAACGCCGCGUGGGGGAUGACGGCCUUCGGGUUGUAAACCCCUUUC